rnacentral:lncRNA from 1 species
AGGAACUUUCAACAUCACGUAGGAACAUCAUGCAGAUUCUCAGGCUUACCCCACACAGACUAAAUCAGAAACUCUUUAACAAGCCCUCCAGGUGAUUCUACUGCAAGCUGAGGGUUCAGAACCACUCUUUUAAAGUCAUUUGCUAAGUCUGUGGAAUUAUUCUGGUGAUAGGAGUAAAAAAUCUUAACAUCGCUUGCCAUCUUGGCUUCAGAAUAUUGGAAAACUACUCCAUUGUGGUUACAAGUGGAAAACAAUUUAAAGGCUCUUCUUUGGCCUUGGUACUUUUACAGGGUUUCACAUUUCUAAUAGUAAACGCUUCAGAAAGUUUGAAGAAAUAUCCUAUUCUCAGAGAGAGGGUAGGGGAAAGCUUAACUUUAUUUUUCUCUAUCCCUCCCCUCCCAAAGUCCAGAAAACGGGCCCUAAAUUCCCAGGACAGAUUUGUUUCAACCUCAGGACAGUUGCUUAAGCGGUUAAUGCUCAGCAGUACAGAACUUGUUUCCUUUUGUUAACGCUGAGGUUGCUGCGGUACUUGGCCAGCUGUGGAGGUUUGUGAGCUGGACCUCAAGCUAUUAAGAAUAGCUUUGGUUGGUUUUGCCUUAAUCCAAAUGAACAGUUACCAGAGGACAUGAUGUAGAAGAGGUUAUUGGAGGUUAGUUCUUAAAGGUCUUUAAGA